UACAUGGGGUGCAAACGUUGCUCGGAAUCAUUGGGCGUAAAGCGCGCGUAGGCGGUUACUUAUGUCGGAUGUGAAAGCCCUCGGCUUAACUGAGGAAGUGCAUUCGAAGCUGGGUAGCUAGAGUACUAAAGAGGGUCGCGGAAUUCCCGGUGUAGAGGUGAAAUUCGUAGAUAUCGGGAGGAACACCGGUGGCGAAGGCGGCAUCCUGGACCGACAUUGACGCUGAAAGCCGAAAGCUAGGGGAGCAAACGGG
rnacentral:rRNA from 1 species